UGGGGAAUUUUGGACAAUGGGGGAAACCCUGAUCCAGCCAUCCCGCGUGUGCGAUGAAGGCCUUCGGGUUGUAAAGCACUUUUGGCAGGAAAGAAACGUCGCGGGUUAAUACCCCGCGGAACUGACGGUACCUGCAGAAUAAGCACCGGCUAACUACGUGCCAGCAGCCGCGGUAAUACGUAGGGUGCAAGCGUUAAUCGGAAUUACUGGGCGUAAAGCGUGCGCAGGCGGUUCGGAAAGAAAGAUGUGAAAUCCCAGAGCUUAACUUUGGAACUGCAUUUUUAACUACCGGGCUAGAGUGUGUCAGAGGGAGGUGGAAUUCCGCGUGUAGCAGUGAAAUGCGUAGAUAUGCGGAGGAACACCGAUGGCGAAGGCAGCCUCCUGGGAUAACACUGACGCUCAUGCACGAAAGCGUGGGGAGCAAACAGGAUUAGAUACCCUGGUAGUCCACGCCCUAAACGAUGUCAACUAGCUGUUGGGGUCUUCGGACCUUGGUAGCGCAGCUAACGCGUGAAGUUGACCGCCUGGGGAGUACGGUCGCAAGAUUAAAA
rnacentral:rRNA from 1 species